rnacentral:lncRNA from 1 species
AAAUUGGAAUCAAAUACAAAAGAUAAAGAAUUUAGAAGGAAUACAACCCUUGUCACAUGAGCUUUCUUCCUUGCCUUCUUCAUCCUCCAUCUUCAUCCUAAUCUAGAUAAUAAACAAGAAUGGAAAAGCUACACUACUCUAUACUAAGCUAAACUAACACUAGGGAGAUGAAAGAGCUACAUUUCUGCAACUUCAAGCUUCUCCCGUAUGUCUCUCUAUUUUUCUGCUAUGAACUCCCCAUCUCCUUUUUUGCAAUGAAUUUGGCUAUUUAAUGAUGAAAGGUGGUCAAGAAAUGAGGAUUACAUCUCUCUUUUACAGCUGGGAAUGUUUCUCACAUGUCUAGCAUCCAAUGUGAGUUGGUGGAGGUGAAAUUGAGUUUUACGCGUACAGAGCAGCCUUUUCUGACCAGUGAUCCGAGCUGCUACAGUACCUCGGAUCCGUAUGGAUCCGAGCUCAAAUCCACUAACCCAGAAACAACCGAGGGUUCGGAUGAAUAGUGGAUCCGAGUGUGGAUCACUUGCUCUGUUUUUGGCCCAACUUCAACCAAUCUUUUCUUGAUGUUAGAGGCUGAACCAGCUCAUGUCUAAAACACGAAAGUUGUAGCCUUUUGAGUUAUCUUUCUAAUGCAUCAAGAAUCACCUCAUUUGGAUCUGUGUAGGCUGAGAUAUGACUGAAAUACCCUUGCCUGCUCAUUGCCCUGUUCCAGUUUCGACCAGUAGAAAUUUGCUAUUGUAAUUCGGCAUUUUGACCUGGAAAACCUUCAAACUGGAUUUAGAUGUCUUCACCAAAGUUGUAGAUCUAUCUCUUAUCUUCAAAUGGGUUCAAGAAUCAUCCCAAUCCGAUCAUUGUAACUCAAGUUAUAGCCGAAAUACGAAAAUGUGUCAAAACUGUCAAAAUACACAAAAUCCAAGUAAAAAGUGAUAAAAACCUCAUUUAAUCACUUAAAAACAUUUAUUCACCAAUUAUAGCCAAAAUGAUUCAUAUUCUUCCAAUAAUAUAACCAAAGUGACUAAAAAUAAUAUAAAAUGUCACACAAUUAUUACGUAAAUUAGUCACUUAUCAACAAUUCCAUGAAAAUCUUCAUAAUACAUAUACCAUAGCUUUAAUAAGAGACAAUCCAUUUUGAAAAAAUGCAGUUCAAGGGAUUUUGAGAAAUUUCAAAGAAAUUAUUUUUCAUGAGAACAGGGAAAUUGACCAAAACUAUCAUGGGCAUGCGAUUAGUAGUUUUCAAGUACUCUUGGAUCACUUGGCGUAUUUGUGAAUGUUUCAACUGGAUAGACAAAGACAACACAAACAGCAAGCUUUCAUACACUUUUCACUAUAAAACACAAUGCAAAAGACAAAUAAACCAUGUAUUGAAAUUCAAUAGUGAAAGAUGAAGAAGUAAUAAUACAUAAAUACAUAUAUAUAUAUAUACACACACACACACACAAGCAGAAGAUAAAGAGCUUGAUUAUAUUGGAUUCCACAACCAGAUGCUUCAGUUAACAUUAGUCUAUAUGUAACUUUUGUUUGGUUGACUUAUCUUUUUCCGUUAAAAAUAGAUAAUUAAUUCAAAAAAAGCAUCGCAUUGGAAAACCCUGUAAGAGGAAAAUAUAAAGGGCAAACCAACUAUGAAUGAAAUUAGCAUUAGAAAGUUUUGGAUGAUGCAAAAUGAAACCAAACGUGGAAACUUUCGACCGGCAAAAAAAAAAACUAUCCACAAUAACAAAACUCAGAGAUCACAAACACUUACAAAUACUCAAAGGAAAGCAAUGCCAAAGUAAGACUACGAGCAGCAGCAAAACCAAUAACUAAACAAGACAUUAAAACCUUUACCCUUCAAUAAAAUGGAAAAAACGAAGAGAAAAUAGAAACUUGGAGGUCUAGUUUAGCAUAAAAUUAGAAAAAUGAUUGAAAAAUAAACUAAAGAAAAACUCAAACCUUGAAAAGUUUAAUCUUUUUUCCUCCUUCCCGUCAAUUUUCCUUCCAAAAAUAAAAGAACCAGGUUUAUCUUCCUUUCAUUCGUUGACACUGUCUGCUCUCUCUACAAUAGAGAGAAAAUUUGUGAAAUGAAUGGAAUAAAAGAUAAAAUAUUCCUUUCACAAUAAAAAAAAAAGUUCUCAAUCAAAUCUCUAAAACCAAAAAAUGAAAAUAUAAAAAUAUGAAAAGCAAGUAUGUCAAACAUGGAGGUCUAAAUUCUUUGCUAAAAAAAAGCUUCAUUACCUUAGACCCUUUCCUUCUUCUGUAUUAUCACCCAUCGAAAGAACACUUUCUUCAAACCAAAAAAACAGCAGGGAGUAAAAUACAUAGUUAGAUUGAAGACUAAAAAAAUGAAAGAAUUGAAAAAAAAAGAACUCCAAGUCUUUCUUUGAUACAAAUAACGAUUUACCAAAGCAAAUGGAAGCAUGAGUAUUUUUUUUUGAGAAAAAAAAAAGAGAGGAAGAACUGGAAAAGAGAGAAGCUACUGAGAGGAAGAGAAGAAAGAGAGGGACGGCAGAAGUAUUGAGAGAGAGAGAGAGAGGAUAGUUAAUUUUGUAACCCUAGACAUUUUGUGACAAAAAAUCGAAGAGGAGUGGGUGUGAUUUGACAUGGGCCACUGUUUGCAAGAGCAGCUCACCUGCUCUCUAGCAACAGAGGAAGAGGAAGAAGCAAGAAACGAAGAGAUGGAACUCUGUCCUCCGCUUGUGCUAUUGUUAGUCACUUUGUCUUAUACAAUGCUCUCUUUCUUGUUAGAAUAGAAUUACAAUGAUGAUGAAGAAAAAGGACAGCUAUUAAUUAUUGCUCUCUUUAGUGGGUUCCAUACAGCAAAACACUCAGGCUUAGAAACGCACGGCCCAAUUUGCAACCUCUGCAUUAAAAACAAAACACACACACACACAGAUGGACGAACACACUCUAGCCAAUAACCAUUGGCCACGUCAGCAAAACAAGCAGCCCUUUUGAGCCAUGGCAUUCGCCCUUUUAUACAUAUGUUAAUAAAUUAAAACUUUUGGCUCAACAUUAAUAAAAUAUUGCUUACUUGCCCUCACUGCUUGAAUUGAAUCAAAAUCUUUAAUUUAUAUGUGUAAAUUAAUAACUAUGCACCCACAUUUAGUGAAUAUUGCCCAUCAAUCUUCAACAAAAUAUUUAUUUGAUAUUCUAAGUCAACAAUUUAUAAAUAAAUAAAUAACUACACAUUUCACCUCUUACACUUAAUUAAAACCACAAACAAAGACUAAAUUUUACUUUUACUCAUUUUCUACUUCAUUCUCAAUACACUUUAAAAACACAAAUACAUUUGAAAAAUUUUGUUAAAUUUUUAACUGUGAUUGAAACUCAAAAAAAUUGCUUUUUCUUCAUUUCACUUAUUAUACUUGCAGUUGAUAUUAAUUUUGUAACAUUAAUUGUCAAUUAGAGCGAAACAUUUUUCUCAAUUUACUGGCUACUUUUCAUAAAUAUGUGGUGAUCGAGGACUGACUCCCCAUUAACCAAUCAAAUUUGUUGAAUAACUAAGUAUUUAAUAGUAUAAAUUCUAAUAACGUGUAAUUGGAAAUAGUAGUAGGUGUAGUUUAUUUGGAAUCAAGCAAGUUCAAGCAUCUAACUCCAAGGAUUGGAACACCUGCAUCAAUCACUUUUUUUCUAUCUUAUAUUACACCAACCAAAGAAGGAAUCAUUGAAAAAGGGCACGAAAUUAAAGAGAAGCUAAACUAGUUUGAUAGCUUAAUUAAAGAACGAGUUACAAAUAAGAACCUCAAACUAAACAAAAUCUAACGAUUUGUAUUUUGUGCACUCAAUAAGUAUAAAUUUUAUUACAUGGACAUGUCUGCCAUACAUAUCUAAGGCUCUGUUUGAUAACCUAUCUCAACACUUAAACUUAAUAGAUUCAGAUUUUAAUAUAUUCGGAUUGUUUUAUAAUAAAAAAAUUGAAUAUAUGAAUUAAUUAAAUGGUACUUAUUUUCUAGGCAAAACUUGUUCCCAAAAUUAAGUGAUAAACUAUUUACUUAUCACUGAAUGUGAUAUGUACUCAAAUGUAUUAAAUUUAGUAUUUAACAAUUCAAUAAUUUAAUGGAUUCAAAUUCUAGAUUUCAGAUUUCAGAUUUCAGACAUCUGUUUUCAAACUUUUAUUUUAUCAAACACAUCCUAAGCUAAUAGGAGACUUUCAAUUGGUCAUCUUCUGCAACAGCAACAUAUGUUAAUAUAUAGAUGAUUUUUGAUGGUUAAUCUUGAUAGAUAAGGGUAUUAGUGUAAACCAAGAAACAAAAAAAUAAUUGCUAAUUUAACUCCUUGCUAAGGGUAUUAGUGUAAACCAAGAAACAAAAUAUUAAUUGCUAAUUUAACUCCUUGCACAACGAUAGUGUACUGAAAUCCUUAUACUAAAUAGCCAAUUGAAACUGCUAAUUUAAUUCAUAAGAAAUUAAAGCUAAUAAAUGAAUCAAAGAAAUUCUGUAACAGGUCUUGUUAACCUCAUGUUCAUCUGACUGGUAAUGGUCUGAGGAAUUCCUUCAAGGAUUACAUCAACUUGGCUCAACUGUGAGGCUUUAAACAGGUUGUCAAAGUAGCUUGUUACUUCCUUCUCCACUUCAGAUUUAGUAUUACACCAAUUUCCAUUCUACAUCUGAAGUGUAGCUAUUUUAUUUC